GCUGGAUACUGGUGAAAAAGCAGCUGAAUGAUGUUGGCAGUGAUAUUCAAGGUAGAGGAGCUGCUUUCUCAACUGCAGUAUGUACUGGAGACUCGUGAGGUUAACUGGAAGCAUGUGCUCUCCUGUCUCUCCACCCUGCUCGUGUACAAUCCAAACACCCAGCCAAGCCUCAAAGCCCCAGUGUCAGGCAGGUCAGGAUGUGGACAAGGCAGUCUCUUUGUUUGAGAGCACAGGAAGGAUAUCUGCCACAGUCAUCAUGGAGGGCUGCAUGUUCAGAAGGCCAUAUUUCCCGACCCGGUUUCUCCUUGCCCUCCUAACUCCACGUGUGAGUUGUCUGGCCAGGAUCUUCCACACGCUGAGUAUUGUGUUCCCUGAAUGUGCUGAGGAACUGGUUGGCCAGACAAUCAUCAAGCUUCAUGUAGAUGAGUCGACUUCCCCUGAGCUGCACAAUAAAGUCGGAAGGAAUGCCAGGAACUGCCAACUCUCCUCCUGUCUCUGCAUUUCUCCUUCUCUUCUACUGUUUUUCUCCUCUGCUCUGUCUCAACUAUUUAGUUUCCUACUCUAUUUGUCUGUCGUUCUAGUUAUUUCUGAUGCAACACUCACUGUUUCGGUCUCUCACACUGUCUGUCUGUCCUGUCUAUGUUCAGGUGGAGAACAUGAUCCUCAGGAGCUUCUGCCAGAGACUUUUGGACGCCUCCGGAAAUAAGCCCACCGAAUAAUACAGAAUUGUCACUACUUGAUUUUCUUUCCAGUCCAUCUGCACAUAGUUGUGUAUAUUAUGUUCUUCUUAGCCUCCACAAGUGUAACUG
ensembl:lncRNA